UACGAAGGGUGCAAGCGUUACUCGGAAUUACUGGGCGUAAAGCGCGCGUAGGCGGGCCAUUAAGUGAGAGGUGAAAUUCCAGGGCUCAACCCCGGAACUGCCUCUCAUACUGUUGGUCUUGAGUGAGGUAGAGAGAAGUGGAAUGGCUGGUGUAGCGGUGAAAUGCGUAGAUAUCAGUCGGAACACCGGUGGCGAAGGCGGCUUCUUGGGCCUUUACUGACGCUGAGGCGCGAAAGCCAGGGGAGCAAACGGG
rnacentral:rRNA from 1 species